GCUGAUGCAGUCAAUUCCAUCUCUCCCCCACGCCACCUCCUUAAAUAAGCUUGGUCUUUCAAGAAAGACACAUUACUUGGAAAUAUGUAAUGAAUGCUUUGUAGGUCUAGAAAGGGUAGUUAGGCACUGUACCUGGAACCCUCUUGUCCAUUUUAGGUAACAGAACUGGUCAUCAGAGGUGGAGUGAGCAAUACAUAUGUCCGUUUUUCAUGUCCUAAGAGAAAUUGGUACUGAAGUUAUUGGGGCUUUGUAGUUUAGCCCUUGUAUAAAGAACAAGGCAAUCUACAUUACUGCGGAUAUUUUCCAGGAGAGUUUAUUCUUGUACGGUAAAAGGUAGACUGAGCAUGUGGUGGCCAGAUUUACAGGUGAAGGGGAUAUGCUCCGUGUGUCGAGAACUAUUCAUGAGAUGGCAGAAUGACUCCUGAUGCUUCUCCUGGAGGGUUUGGCUCUGCCCAUUUCCCUGACACAGCACUGCCAAGCAGGACUUCAGACGGUCACCUGCAAGUUCCAGGAAGGAUUUUUUUCUCCAAUGCACAAGUGGCCAGAUGUAUUUCUCUUCUUACCUUCCUCUGAAGCACCUAAGGAUGGCCAUAAUUGGAAGACUAGUGCUCCAAGACUGACUGGUGAGAAACUUAAUUUGUGCUGUAAAGCCUGAGGAGCCCAGGGAAAAUGUGGCAUGAGCAACCAAAAGUCUCCCAGGGUGAAUCACAAAUCCAUGUGAUGUCCCCAAGAACUAGAUCUGACCUUUGGAUUUUUGAUUCAGCUGAAACCUGGCAAAAAUCUCACAGAAAGUUCCCCACUGGCUGCAUAUCUUAGUGGUCUCACUUACAUAUGUUAUUCCAGCUGAGGUCAGUGGCAACUCAUGUUUGCAAAAUGAAGGUCUCUUUUUUUCAGACGGUAGCAUGAAAGCAAAACCCGCUCUAGAGCAGUAUAUUGCACUGAGCAUUCCAUCAUUGCAAACACCUCUGCGUACACUGAUCUGAAGAUUUGCACUUUUGGGGAAAUGUUUGAAUAGUAGUUGACCCUGUUUGAGUAUAGAGGCUUCUCGUCACUUCUUCAAAUGCAUAACCCAUUCCAAUGUUUAGAGAUAGCUUAUAUAGAACAGGGAGCAGAAUUCUACCCUUAAUUAUUUUUUGGCAUUUGCAUUUUGAUGUGUCUGAUGCUGACAUUUAUUUUCACCAACAAAGUGUCUUUUCAAUGCUACAAAAACCCAAAGAAAAUUAUUAAUUUCUUGUAGCUGAGACACCUGUGAAAGUGACAUGCCUAAAUUCACACAGUUGCCAUAAACAAAACAGAGAAUGCCCUGCAACAAACUAAAGUGAAAUAGAAAACACAUUUACUGAAGUGUGAACUCUACAAAGUAAACAGCUCUCCAAAGCUGUGCAUGAUGAUGUCAAGCAAGUUUGAGCUGAUUAAAACUCAGCUUCUAAACAGAAAACCAGUUAACUACUUCUGGAGAAAUUAGCAACAUAUGGAACAAUGACAUUCCAUCAAGUUAUACCUAUAGGGUUCUUUCACAGGCACUUCUGAGCAGGUCACUUGUUUGUGCCUUUGUGCUAGCUUAAUGAUGUUCUUCUAAAUGCCGUUGGCUCCAGAACAUCAGAGAAUUUUAGAGCCAAAAUAAACCACAUUCUUUGUGUCAAUUUAUUUUACAUUUCCCAUCCAGUAGCAAUUUAAUAAAAUUCAAGCCGAAGGCCCUCAACUCCUCUGUGGGCGGGCUGAAACGUGAGUUCAUUACACCAAGAAAUAAACUUACAGUGGAAACUACUAUUUUUUUUUUGGCUUACCUGCAUAUUUAGUUAACAUUAAUCACCUCCAGCUGCUUAAUUUGAAUCAAUACCAUGGUGUUUUGCAGCAUCCCUUCCUUCCCUAGCUGCUUUGACUGUACUACAGACUGAGCUUUGUAACAUCAGGACUGCAUUUGAAAAACGGGAGUUGCCUGAAUACCCUGAGAAUUUGUAACAAAAGCAAGAUAAUGACUGAACAUUAAUUCCUGUUAUAGAACCAGCCCACCUGCCAUGAUGGAACUGAAUGGUUGAGAAAGAAUAGCAAGGAUAUUGGCAGUGUAACUAAGUGCCUUUGCCAGUAGGUCAAACAACAUCAUUCUAUUUGAGCCAAAAUAAAAAAUUGGAAAUGCUAUGUGGCAAUAUAUAGCUUUGUUGGCUAACCGACCAGAAACAAAGCAUCCUAUCUUAUUUCAACCAGACUAUAUUCUCUACAGCUAAUUAGUAUAUUCAUAAUUAUAUCCAUUCAUUUUAGAAAUAUCACACUUUUUCAGGCUACAUCUCACAAAUUACAUUAGUUCAAAUCACAGAUGUGAAUGUCCAGUUUGUUUGUUUUGCUUUGUUAUUUGCAUGUGUUUCAUUUUCAUUGUUCAGUUUGCUGCCCUCUGCAUCCUCUUCUUCAAAUUUACACUUGUACAACAACAAAAAAACCCGUUGUCCUCAUCCUGCAUUCCCUGACUGACGUUCUAGAGUUAUAUGAUUUAUGCCUAAGUUUUGAAACAGCAUCAGAGGACUGUGCAGUGGGAGAGGUUUAGGUUGGAUAUUAGGAAAAACUUUUUCACUAGGAGGGUGGUGAAGCACUGGA